UGGGGAAUAUUGCACAAUGGGCGCAAGCCUGAUGCAGCCAUGCCGCGUGUAUGAAGAAGGCCUUCGGGUUGUAAAGUACUUUCAGUCGGGAGGAAGGUGGUAAGGUUAAUAACCUUAUCAACUAACGUUACCGACAGAAGAAGCACCGGCUAACUCCGUGCCAGCAGCCGCGGUAAUACGGAGGGUGCAAGCGUUAAUCGGAAUUACUGGGCGUAAAGCGCACGCAGGCGGUUGAUUGAGUCAGAUGUGAAAUCCCCGGGCUUAACCCGGGAAUUGCAUCUGAUACUGGUCAGCUAGAGUCUUGUAGAGGGGGGUAGAAUUCCAUGUGUAGCGGUGAAAUGCGUAGAGAUGUGGAGGAAUACCGGUGGCGAAGGCGGCUCUCUGGUCUGUAACUGACGCUGAGGCUCGAAAGCGUGGGGAGCAAACAGG
rnacentral:rRNA from 1 species